GGAGUAUUACAUUUAAUCAUCAAGAAUUGGAAUAUAUCAAUGCACUCUCACCCCCAUUAAGUUUAAAGUAAAGUGUGUGUGUGUGUAUGUGUGUGUGUUAUUUUUAUAUUCAAGCAGUUUUACAUUAUUUUUAAAUCGGAAAUUUUUUUCUCUUUGCAACAGGGUUUUUUUCUUAAAAUGUAGCCUUUAUGAUAUAUUCUAAAUGUUUUGCAAUCAAAUUUUCAUCUCAUUUUAUAUUUUUUAACUGAAAAUGCAUUAAAACUCCCCUUUUUGCUCACACCUGAUCACCAUCCACAGUGGAAAACAGUACUCCCGUGCCCAAACCCCACAUUCAGCACUGAGACCCGGAAAUGUUCCUGCUGCUUCAUCACACCAAGCAACAUUUGGUGGGGGGGGUCAUCUAUUCCCAGUUUGAAUUCCGAGUUUUGGAAUCCUACUCUACAUUUUUUAGAUUAACAGAUGUUUUGUGGUAUUUUAUGUUCCAAGAAGCAUCACUGCAAAGAUUGAUCUAUAGAUGAGUAAUGAUCAGUGAAAAGCUGACACAGAGCACAAGGUAUAAUAACUUUUAUGGUUAGGAAUCUGAUAUGCUGCCAGCAGAGUUUCUUCAAUUCACACCUCCGUUUCCUUAUUGCCUUGAUGCUUGGAUAUGGCGCAGGGAAAAUGAGAGUGAGACCGCAGAUGAAAGUCUUUUAUAACAAAAAGAGGAAAUCUUAUUGAUGAGCUGUUUCAAUCACUUAUUUUGAUAGAUGAAAAAACUAAGGCCAGUGGAAGUGAAGUGACUGGCAAAGUCUCAGAGAAAGAGAAUGGCAACUAAAAAGCUCAUAUGGAAAGUAAAGCCACAGAGUGGGUUGGGUAAUCUCAGGAGUGUAGUCUGGCGGACACAUGAAGUAGAGCAUGCAUGAAAUGUUCACAGCUACAGACAUGCUCAGAUGCACUCUCUCUUCCUUCAGUGGCAAAGGUGACCCUGAAAGAGCUUCUAACCACACAGGUGCUUUACCUUCACUUGCUCUCUCCUCUUGGCACUGGGACGUGGAGAGGAAGAGUUAGUCCCUCAAAUGAUAUUGUGACAACUACACUACAUGAAGGCCUGGGGAGAAUAAGAAAAAAACCAAGUGGUAUAUUGAGAAUUAUUGCUCAUAGAAUAAGAAGAGGCAGUAGAAGACAAAAAGAUGAAGAUUCAAGUGUUACACAAAUAAAUAGGAGUCCUUUGUCUUCAGGAAUAAUAAAGCACACUGAGAAAAGAGACACUUAAAUGAAAAAGUUUUAUAGCUCUGUACAACAUACAGAGGAUUGCUGAGCCAUUUGGUGACCACUCAGGACCAGGGAGUACAAUGUUAAAGAAGAUGGCCAUAGAACUUAAAAAUUGCACCCUGAGUAUUCACAACUAGAAUGCAAAAUGUGUCCUGUCACAAGUUGAGUAUUAGCUAUAGUCUGAUCAGCCACCAAAGAAGAAAUCUCCAGUUCUCACUUUCUUGGUGAGUGAGGUUUCAAUGUGCUUGUGUUGCUGUGGGGAGAAAGGCAUAAAGGAAAGGAUAUUAUAGACCAAAGUAUUAAAAGCUAACCAGGACAGAAUAAGACAAUGUAUAAGUGACACAAUGUACAUGUCAACGUCCUAGUUUAUGAGAGGCUUUGAUUAAUGAUUAAGAUGAAAAUGAAGCAAGUACUAUGUACUUUCUCAAAUGUUACAACUGAGAGUGUGAACUUUGUGUUACAAGUAACAGCACAAAGGUAUGUUUUGUUUGUAGUUUUUUACAUAGAUAUUGCUAAUUAACUGUCACCAGGUUAUGAACUUUGAACCAUUUUUAGAAAUGGUCUUAGCAAUUGAGUAGACAUGAAGAGGGAUAGAGCAGAUAAAUUGUGAUUAUGGAACAGUUUUUAACUUCAUCUGUUUGUAUAUAGCUCUGAUGUUUUCUUUCUUUUAAGAUUUUAUUUAUUUAUCCAUGAGAGACACAGAGAGAGGCAGAGACACAGGGAGAGGGAGAAGCAGGCCCCAUGCUGGGAGCCCGACGUGGGACUCGAUCCCAGGUCUCCAGGAUCAGGCCUUCAGGAUAAGCAAGCAGUGCUCUGACACCAACCAAAUGUCCUACAAUUCAACUCGAUUCUGACACUCUUCACACAGAGAUGGCAUCACUUCCACAGGUUAAGGUUUCAGUCCUACAAAAUUGCUCCUCCCUAGCUCACUUCAGAUGCCAGUCACAAGCCUAGGCCUGUUACUUGUGCCUCUGACCAACCAGCGACACAUCAGAGGUUCCCAUGACCUCUGCAUUAAAGUGCUGAGCCACCUGGGCUGUCCUGGUGUUUUUUCAAUUCUUGUUAACAUAAUAUAUUCCAAAUUGAGUUCCUCAGAAAACAUGUAAAUAGGUGUUAUGGGUUACAUUGUGUACCUUGCCCCCACCCCAAAAUAUAUACUGAGAUCCUAAUCCCCUGUCCUUCAGAAUGUGUCCUUGUUUGGAAAUUGGGUCAUUAUAGAAGUAAUCAAACUAAAACUAUAGUCAUUACGUUGGCCCAUAAUCCAUUGUGACCAGAAGGGGAAACUUGGAUACAUAUGAAGACAUAAACAGAGAUUGGAAUUUUGCUGCCACAAACCGAGAAAUGUCUGGGGAAAGGCUAUGAAAGAUCAUUUUUCUAUAAGUUUCAGAGGUAGAUAUCCCUGCCACCACCUUGAUUUCAAAUGUAUGGCCUCCAGAACUGUAAGACCAUAAAUUUUUGUUGUUCUAAGAUACCCCACUAUGGCACUUUGUCAGGGCAGCCCUAGGAAACUAGCAGUGGGUAUUGAUGGGAGAAAAUAGUUUCAUGGUCAAAACACAGUGAGGAACAUACACACAGCUAAACUGAACUGACAGUUUCUCAGUGACCUCACUGUAUUAACCCUUAUUUUGAUGCUCCUACAGAGGAACUAUUGCAGGAGAUAUUUUCUAGAAAUAUUCGUUCAUGGAGCAAAACUUUUCCCACAGUGUUCAUGCCACAUAUCUGCUACUCUAUAGAAUAUAAUUUGGGAAAUGCAGACAUAGAGUGUCUAAAUUUAAACAACUACCAUGAUUUUUAGAAUAGUCUCAAAGAAAAUUAUUUUCCCGCAGGUUGAGUCGAUAAACCUCUUAAUUUUGCCUCAUUCCUUAGCCUUAAUAUAUGUUUUCACUAAAUGUUCUUUGAGUGUCAGUUGUGCUCUCGAGGGUGAAUCUCAGCCUGCAAAAUUUUUGUUGAACAUAGAGUCUGCAAAACCAGAUGCUCAGGUUGUCAAGAACAUCUGUAGGAACAUAACACUACAUUAGUUACAAGAAUCCACCUGUCAGGUAAACAUAAAACAACACCAAAUGCAACAAUUCAAAUAUUUGGUUGGGCAAGAUUUAUCCUAAACAUGUUUCUCUUUGAAUUUAACAUUUAUUAGCAAAAUAGCCAAAAUUAUAUAUUUGAAAUACAGAUGAUUUAAAAUAAAUACUUUAAGACAAUUAUAUAAUUAUGUCUU
rnacentral:lncRNA from 1 species